AACGAACGCUGGCGGCAGGCUUAACACAUGCAAGUCGAACGCAUGCCUUCGGGCAUGAGUGGCAGACGGGUGAGUAACGCGUGGGAACCUACCCCUUGGUACGGGAUAGCUCCGGGAAACUGGAGAUAAUACCGUAUGUGUCCUGAGGGACAAAGAUUCAUCGCCAAGGGAUGGGCCCGCGUCGGAUUAGCUAGUUGGUGGGGUAACGGCCUACCAAGGCGACGAUCCGUAGCUGGUCUAGAGGAUGAUCAGCCACAUUGGGACUGAGACACGGCCCAAACUCCUACGGGAGGCAGCAGUGGGGAAUAUUGGACAAUGGGCGCAAGCCUGAUCCAGCCAUGCCGCGUGAGUGAUGAAGGCCCUAGGGUUGUAAAGCUCUUUCACCGGUGACGAUAAUGACGGUAACCGGAGAAGAAGCCCCGGCUAACUUCGUG
rnacentral:rRNA from 1 species